GGAAGGUUAUGAAAGCUCCAAGGAAUCAUUUGGCUCUUUGUGAGUUAUUCUUUUAGAAUUUCUGGGCAUUCCACUUGUGGAUUUUAUCGCAGGACAAAUUCCUGGUUGUCCUUGGAAAUGUGUCUGCAAGCAAAUUCUCAGAAGCCCUAUAAACAGUGGGAAAACCUUGAAGCUACCUACAUUUGACAGAAGUGGAAUAUUUCUGAGCCAAGGGUGGUUGGAUCUGCAAUUAUGUAACCAGCAGAUCUGGAGGGCUGACUACAUUCCUAAACAGGAAAAAACAAUCUAGAAGAUGCCACCAAGAGAAAAUCCUCUUCAGUGGAUGCCAGCCCAUCUCCCAAGGACGCGUCCCAUUUCUGCACAUCUCUUAUGUUCCAGUCAAGAGCAUGUUCUUGCCUGUUCCUCAAACAGGUAGCUCAACCCUGCUCCUUCCCUGUGCUCCUGUUGCUUCUCCAACUCAUGAGAUACCCACCCUGCUCACCCCCACAUCAUGUCCACAAGGACUCCACACACUAUCUC